AUUAUGGUUUUCUGUCUAGAGGUGAAUUUUCUCUUUUAGAAUCUAGUGACUAAAUUAUGCCUAAAGACAGAGGCUCUGGCUUAUUCAUCUCCCAAUACCUAAUAUGAUUCAGUUCCUAAAACAGAGUAGCUAUUUGAUAAAAACAUAGCCAAUCAGUUAGUAAACUUGCCCCCACAUACAAAUGCACGUGUACACACACAAACACAUACACACACACACACUACAUAAAAUUUCUUAUGCAUAUUCCUCAAGUGCUUGUGAACCUUUUGAAAUUGCCUAUGAACAUAUUAAUAUGCUUCUGAGUGCACUCUUCUCUUUGAGGAACAUUUUCUAAUCUUUGAAAAAAAUUUUUAUCUGUUUAUGUUCUUUCUUUUUACCCGGAGCAUCACUUUUACACAGUGGACUUGAGUUGCUAAAGUACUGAUUAUUUGGUUGACCCAUAGGGAAAGUGUUAUGUAUCCUUGUUUUUAUUUAUACACUACUUGCUUGGUGGUUUUGUGCAAGCACUUUGUAUGUUAAAAAAAACCCAUGAAUUAUGUCUAUUAAAUGGGAAAGUCUUAUUUUUGAACAAUUUUUUUGUGUUUAAUACAGAGUAUCAUAUUGUUAGUAUAGAUAAAUUUUUGCAAAAUGCCUGACUAAAUCAGCCAUCAUCACUGUUUUGAGCAUAAGGUUUGAGAUUUUAGAAAAAAGCUAAAUGAAAUGUCCAGUAUCAUACAUCAAGAUCAGAGAAAAUCGGACGCUCACAACCCGUAGCUCUGUGUUUCCAGACUGUUACACAAGCUCACUGAGAAGUGCCUUAUAUGCCUGAUUUCUCAACUUCACCUUCAGUAAACUUUUGCAAUCCCAAGGCUAGAGACCUCUUUUGUGAAGGUUGUCUGCCCAGUGAGAGUGUUGGCACGGAGAGGCCCUAGCAGAUAAAGUGGAGGAACAUAUGGAUUCUAUUUGAAUACAAAUCGCUGGACAUAACGUGGUGGUAAUUCAGCUGCAGUGUCCUCUAUAUUGUAAACGGAAAGAGUAUGAUUAGAGGUGUUUAUAAACGGCGUCUGAAUUCCCCCACACCCGCCCCACCCCCUUUCCACUGUAUUUUUAUCAGCCUGAAUCAUAGCCGUCCAGCGUCCCAGUCUCACUGUGUUGUUUGUGAAAAUGGCCAGCAUGAGGAAUUAUUAAUUAAAGCUAACAAAUCACCCUGACGAGCUGGGCUGUAGCAUGGCUGAAGGUUGAUUGGCGAAAGUGUUCUCCUUUGGAGAAAAGACUUUUUGUGCUCGUGACGCAGUCAGGGACGGAUUAUUGAAUAUUCAAGUUAGAAGAAAAAUCACAGGACAAGCAAAUUGAGUAUUUACUGGCAAAUAAUUGCUCUCUUAAGCUGUGGCUCUCUUCCUAAAUUCUUAACAUUCCCGUGGGUUAGAAAGAAACUCAGAAAAAUGCAUCGGUGCAGAGUACAUUUCAAAAAAAAUACAUAGACUGAUGUUUCAGAUUUGUGCAGUGGAUCUCCUCAUGGUUGAAUUUUAACAUUAUACCUCACUAAAUUGCAAUACAACAUAUAUCAUGUGAAUCUAUAAUCUAUUAGCUCAAAGACUACCUUUUAGGAGGUAAGUUUUAUUUUUUAAUUUUGAAUAUGUAUGAUAUAUACGCCAAAUGUACAUGUGUCCAUACAUUUUUGUUUUGCUGUUUCUGACACCCUGCUCUAACAACAGAUUUAAAAUGACUGACAAAAAUAAAUACAUAGUAAAGCAAAAUUCAUAAAUUAGAAGUGAGCGAUAAAGAUUAACAAAAUAACAAGGAUAAGGAUAUAAAAAUGGAACCAGUUGUGAAGUCAACCUAUUAACUAUAUUCAGUGAAGUGCUAUACAGUUGCCUUUAAACUUUCUUGCAGCCAAGUCAAAGAGAAAAGCAUGACAAGUUAUGUAAUUCACAACACCCUUAAGAAUAAUAAAAUAAUUUUCCAUCAUCCAUCACUAAAGCUCGAAAAAUGACAGACUCUGAGUUUCAGAGAAAUCAGUGCUAAGAUGCUAAGACAACUUUCAAUGACAAUAAUUAUAGGCUGCAGAAACCUGAAGGUCAGGUUAGAUGCAGAAACAGUACCCUCCUCGAGACAUGGAUAUGGAUGUAGACUAGAAUAAUCCCUUUUCAAUCCCAGGGCAUGAAUAUGUGGGAUUGUGCGGGAUGGGGGAUAAUAUUAGUGAUACAGUGUUUUUGAGGCCAAGAUCUCAUGCAAAAUAAGGAGUUAGGAGGGGAAUUUCAAAACUAUUUUAUAUAAAUAAAUGUAUCUUGUAACAGCAAAUCAAAGAUUUAGAAGGCUUCUACUUUUAUAAUAAUUACUGAAACACAUUUUAUCAAAUAAACCUUUUGAAUCAACAUUACUUUUCUAAAUUAUACAUAAAGCAGUUCUGUGUUGCUGCCAUUCUUCCACUUAUACUUUAAGAUGAUUAUCAGUCUUUGCAGUUUUUAAAAAGAGCCCUUUCUGGCUUCAAAUUUAAAUAUUUCUCACUCUUGCAUCCUCCCUUGGUUCAUUUUCAAAAGUCUUAGCAAACUGCUUAAUCUUUUCACAGGUAAUUUUGAUGAUUAAGUCCCAUUUAAUAGUCAAGUGUCUCCAUAUUGAAAUGGUGUGAAGCAUAAAGGUUUUUUCCCCCUACUUUUCCUUGUAGCCUAACCCCUAGUAAGUAUUACAAGGAGCCCUGAUCAGGAUUACUACGGUGAUUCUUAAAAUGAACAUUUUUUUUACCUCUUUGCAGAAUUUCUGAAUCAAAUACUCUGAGGAUGGGGCCUAGGUCUCUGCACUUUAGGAAACUAUUUGGAUUAGUCAUGUUUAUUAAAGUUUUAAAAUCGGUAUUUUAAAAUUCUGACUUUGAAAUUUAUAGUAUGGGAAGAUAAAAUGGUAGGAUUUCCCUAUAAUUGUUGGUGAGCAUUCAUUAAAUUAACACAAACUAAAACACUAAUGCAUAUACAAUAAUAUGUUAUGAUUGCCUGCUAUUAAAACCAGAACAAUCUAAAGACUGAGUUAAUUUGAACUCAUUAGGGCACAUUUCACCAUUUUAUGAAACAUUUAAAAAUAUUUUUAGCCAUCAUUUAUUGAGAACUAUUAUAUGCUAAGUCAUAUUGUUGGUCUGGAUACUACAGAUACAAAGAUGAUUAAAAGAGAGUGAGUACUUUUCUGGAAAAACUCAUAACUAUGAUAAUUGUAUCAUCACUAAGAUAUUAUCUCCUCCAAAUUAGGAUAACUAUGAAUUUCCAUAUAAUCUCCUCUUUGAAUAAAAGUCAAGGUUCCAUGUUAUAUCAUGUCACUAUAAGUAUACAGUGGACCCUUGACUUACCCUUGAUCCAUUCCUAAUGUCUGGUUGUAACUAAAUCAGUACAGCUGAGAUCCAGAUGUUUACCUGACUACAUGCUAUAGAUAACAGAGGCAGAUGAAUCUUACAUUAACCUUAUUGAGCCAAGUUGUUCCUAUGUCAGGCUAGGCGUUACUUGAGGUUCCAUGUACACUCAUUAGCGAUUUCACGUAGUAGGACCCUACUGCAAUUUGGAAGGUGUGGAAUCUGCCAUUUUCCUACUGUGAGACUCUGUCUCCCAUAGCUGAGAUGGGAAGUGUCAUGUAGACCUGAAACAUUUCUUUCAUUAUCUGUCAGUGAUUUCUUACAAGGUUCCAUUCUGUAAAGAGGAGAGAAACAUGUGUGAGUGCACUAGACAUUAAGAAGACUCCCAUAUCUCCUUCCCUUGUCCUGCUGGUGGCUCAGCUGGCCUAUAAGAAAUGCUGGAGCCUAAAUAGUGGCAGCCUUUCUAGUUGAUAUGUCAGGUACAAUUGAAGGGCUCCAAGCUGCUCUCCCCUUGGAGCUCUUUUCUUCACAAGUUACAGCUGUGCUAGAAGUUGAGCAUAGACAGGCAAGAGGCCACAUGUUGCAGUAAAUGAAUUAAGUGUGUAGCCAGGCCGAGGAAGAGAAUGAGAGUUUUCUAUUUCAUUGAUGGUUUGUGUUUUCUUGGGAAAGUUUUGGGGAUACCCUCUCCCUUUAUCAUUUCCAUAACAGUAUGAAAAAUAUUAUGAGAACUUCAAUAUUUUUUCCUUUCUUUUCCUAACUGUCAAC
ensembl:lncRNA